rnacentral:lncRNA from 1 species
AUGGGCGCGCCGCGCGAUGGCUUCGCGGAGAGCGGGGGGUACAGAGUGUGCAUAGCGCCGGCGGCCCGGUCCCCGGAGGGCUGGCAGAGGCAGGUCCUCUUCACCCCGGGACUCAGGGGAGCACAAACUCCCAGAGGCCCGGCACGGCUCUGCCCCUGCUGCGCGGGCCGCCCCGCCCCCGCUCCGCCCCCAGCCCGCCCCGCCCGGGACCGCAGACGGCGCCCGGCGGCGGCGCGAACGGCAGCGAGGAGGGUGGCUCUGGGCUCGGUGCUCACCGCGACUUCCCGCGCAGGGCCCGGCCGGACCAGGACGCGCGUCCUCAGCGGCGCUGGAGGAUGCGGCCCCGGUGCCGGGCAGCAGCAGCGGGAAGCCGGGUGCCCUGCAGGUCAGCGUUUGAGUAGCUGGGGCCCUGGAGGGCUUGAAGCCUUCACAGUGAUGGCGGAGAAGCGGCCACUGGGGACCCUGGGGCCUGUGAUGUAUGGGAAGCUGCCCCGCCUAGAGGCAGACUCCGGGCCUGGCCACAGCCUGCCCCCCUCUGCUGGUAACCAGGACCCCUGCAGCUACAAGGGUGCCUACUUCUCCUGCCCCAUGGGGGCUCCUCCUAAGACAGGGUCUGAGCGAUUGGCUUCCUGGACCCCAUACCCACCCUUGUACCCUACCAACAUGGCAGGACCCCCACUCCGAGCAAACAGUCUUCUGACCAGCUGCCUGCUCUACCGCCCGCCCACAGAAAGUUCUGAGAAGGUGCAGGACGCUGGCCCUGUCGAGCUCCUGCCCUUUGGUCCCCAGUCUCACUCCUACCCAGGUCCCCCACUGGCAGCACCCAAACCUGUCUACCGUAGCCCGCUGUGUUACGGGCUCUCGACUUGCCUGGGAGAGGGGGCACCGAAGAAGCCUCUAGAUGUUGACUGGACGCUGGUGACCGGAUCCUUGUUACCACCAGUGGACCCGUCUUGUUCUCUGCCCCCAGCCUCUGGCAAGGGCCAGUUCCUGGAUGGCACCUUCUUGCGUGGGGUGCCAGCUGGGGCGUCUGACAAAGACUCCUCAGCGAGCUUCUCCCCCUGCCAGGCCUUCUUGGAGAAGUACCGGGCCCUCCACAGCACAGGCUUCCUGGCCUCGAAGUAUGCGAGUCCUUACUCUGGGGACCCCAAGCAGGUGUUGUCUGAGGGCCCCCCGAGUCCUUGGACCCAGCUGGCCCAACCCCUAGGACCAACCUGCCAGGACGCAGUGCCCCCUCACUAUCCGCUGCCCCACCCCACACAGCCCGUGCCUUGCUUGCCAGCCUGUCGCCACCCAGAGAAGCCGGGCAGCUAUGGCUCAGUGCUCCCACUGCAGCCACUGGGAGCCCCCAAGGGGGCUGGGUACCCGGCUGGUGGGCUGAACAGCCCCUACCUGAGGCAGCAGGCCGUUCAGACACCCUAUAUGCCCCCUGUGGGGCUGGACACUUACGCCUACCCCUCCGCUCCCCUCCCAGCACCUUCGCCAGGCCUCAAGCUGGAGCCACCUCUCACCCCACGCUGCCCACUGGACUUUGCCCCCCAAACGCUGGGCUUCCCUUAUGCCCGGGAGGACCUCUCUCUCUAUGGAGCAUCCCCAGGGCUUGGAGGGACGCCACCUUCCCAGAACAAUGUGCAGGCCUUGCCAAAGCCUGGGGCCUUCCAGCGGGCAUGCCAGCCUCUGCCUGCCAGCCAGCCAUGCUCAGAGCUCAUGAGGCCUGCAGAAAAGCCCGUGCAGGAAGCCGAGGAGAAGAUGUGGCUACCCGGCUGCAGAAAGGAGCAUCCCCAGCCGCAGCCGCAGGCCAAGCCCCAGCCCCGGCCCGAUGAGCACCCCGGGGCACCCAUUGUCAUCGGAGAUAGUCCAGUUCCGCGCACCCCACCGCCGCUCCCACCCUGUGCCCAGGAGCGCCAGUCUCUGCCACAGAAUGAGGGCUCACUGCCCCCCAGCUCUCCACCUAUGCCGGUCAUCGACAAUGUCUUCAGCCUGGCCCCCUACCGUGACUACCUGGACGUGCCAGCAUCCGAGGCCCCAGCUGAGCCUGAACCGGCCCCAGCCCCCAACGAGAGCCACGACAAAGACUGUGGAAGGUCCCUACCUGCCCAGGAAGCCCCCUCCAGUGAGCACCCCUCACAUAAGGAGGAGGUCGCUCUGGACUUGAGUGUGAAGAAGACCGCCACCGAGGCCUCCCCCACCAAGGUCCCUCAUCCCAUGGGACGUGCCAAGCCCACCCCAGCCGUGGAUAUGCUGGCCGCAGGAAGCAAUGUCUCCAACGUGCCAGGUAUGGGGGACAUGGUCUCCAAUCCGCAGGGCCUGCCAAAGGCAGUCACAGAGGCGUCAGAACCACCUGGGGUGCCAGUGACCACAGAGGCCACCCCAAGGACCAACUUCCACAGCUCGGUGGCCUUCAUGUUUCGAAAGUUCAAGAUCAUCCGGCCAGCACCCUUGCCUGCAGCUGUGGUCCCCGCCGCGCCCACCUUGGCCCCUGCCCCGGCCCAGCCCACACCCACCCCGACUCCCACCCCCGUGCCCCCUGGACUACAGAUGCUCACCCAGCCCUUGCCCGUGGCCUGCUUCGGCCUGACACUGCCCAGCCCUCCAGCUGUAGCCAUGGCCUCCCCCGCCUCCGUGCCUGCCCCAGCUCCAUCGCCCGCACCGGCUCCGGCUCCGGCUCCGGCUCCCGCUCCAGUUGCUGGCCCCUCCCCAGCUUCUACCCCCGCCACGGCCGACUCCCCAGAGCAGCACUUCGCAGGACUGCAUGCAUCCUUGUGUGACGCCAUCUCGGGCUCCGUGGCCCACUCCCCACCUGAAAAGCUGCGCGAGUGGCUCGAGACGUCUGGGCCCUGGGGCCGGGCGGCGUGGCAGGACUGCCAGCGCGUGCAGGGGCUGCUGGGCAAGCUGCUGUCGCAGCUGCAGAGCUUCGUGUGCACGCAGCAGUGCCCCUUCCCCCACGUGGUGAGGGCCGGGGCCAUCUUCGUACCCAUCCACCUGGUGAAGGAGCGGCUGUUCCCGCGGCUGCCACCUGCCUCCGUGGACCACGUGCUGCAGGAGCACCGCGUGGAACUGCGGCCCACCACACUGUCGGAGGAGCGGGCCCUGCGGGAGCGUGCCCUGCACGGCUGCACCUCGCGCAUGCUGAAGCUGCUGGCGCUGCGCCAGCUGCCCGACAUCUACCCGGACCUGCUGGGCCUGCAGUGGCGAGACUGCGUCCGCCGCCAACUGGGUGACUUUAACACCAAGCCUGGAUCAGUGCCCUCUUCGGAAUCCACCGUGGCCAGAGACGAGCCAGGGAGCCUAGACCUGAUUUGGAAGUCAGCUGCCUCCAAAGCCAAAAAGCCAGGGAGGAAGCCGCCGACCCCUGGCCCAGAGAAAGCAGAGGCGACUGCUGUGGGGGGGUCACAAGGUGCCUCCCCAACCCCUGCUGCUGGCGCCACGGUGAAGGCACGCUUCCGCAGCCUGCUUGAAUCUGCCUGGCUCGAUGGCCUGGCACUGCCCACUUGGGGCCACAAGGCCUCGGGACCGGACCGGACCGCACCACGCCCGCAGCUGUUGGGCAGCCAGAGCCACCAGCUGUAGCCUUAGGUCACCACUGCUGUUUGGAGAUCUGUGGAUCGCUCUAAGCCCCGCUUC